rnacentral:lncRNA from 1 species
AUGCCCAGUGAAAGGCUGCAUCGACAUCACUGUCCCAAAGCAACUCCACUGCUUACAGCCACGCAAAGCCCAGCAGCACUCGCUUCCCCAAGCAGAGCGAGCACCAAGCCACGGGCGGUUUUUGCCAGGCUCUGCCCCAGAGCAACGCGCCUGCUGCUCCUCAGCACCCCACUGAGCACACGCUGGAUGAGGACCCGGCACCCAGGAUGCCCUAAGAAGCCGCUGCCAGACCCAGUGCAGCCCCCAGACCCUCAGCCCUUCUCCCCCUCCCCCCGGCCGGCUGUGCCGUGCCCCUCCCGGCACCCCGGCCCUCCGCCGGCCGCCCACCUACGCCAGCCCCCGGCUCGGCCGCGGCCUAGCGCCGCGCUCCGCCGGGACCGCCUCCAUCGGGCAGCCCCGGGGCCGGGCAAGCGGGCGGCGAGGGGGGCCGGCCGAGGAAGCCGGGGGGAGCCGGGGGGAGCCGCGGACAGGCGGAUGUUGGCGGAUGGCGGCGGGCGGCCCGCACUCACCCGCCCGUCUGCUCCGGCGGCCGCCGCUGGAAAGGAAGUGGCAGCGCUCAGGGGGCGGAAGGGGCCGCGCUCAGCCGGAAGGGAUGGCGGCGGGAGGCCGGCUUCCGCCCUGUGCGCCGUAGCUGACCUCGUCAAGAUGGCGGCGCCCGCAUCCACCGGGGUUGACCUGCUCAAGAUGGCGGAGCUCGCCGCUCAGUGUGCCCCUCCCCAACAUGGCGGCGCCCGCCUCGACCGGCACCGCCCUCCUCAAGAUGGCGGCGCACCCCCCCCGGCACCGCCCCCUUCAAGAUGGCGGCGGUCGCCUCACAGCUGUCCCCUCCCCAAGAUGGCGGCGCCACGCUUCAGGGGGAUGCGGUCCCUCAGAGCCUUUUUCGGUCCCGUUGGACGGCGUUUUGCCAUAAUUAAACGUCUUCCUAAGCACUACACAAUGGUGCCACACGGCCCAGUUGUGGUGGCAUGGGUCGGUGUGUGUGCCAAGUGUGCGGGCUACGAGGGCUGUCUCAAAUGGCCACCAGUCCUGCUUCAGCUCCUCCAUCCCGUUGUCCCAGGAGGCCCUCAGGUCUCUGUUUUAACCUGGUUUCACCAACAGAAGCCAUCCUGA